CCAUAUCCCUUCUCUGCCCAGUUCUUGGGGCAGUGAUGGUGUCAGGCCGUUUGUGGGUCCCCCUGGUGCCCUGUCUGCCCCUCCACAAGACCUGGGAACUGCGGGAGGACAUGGGGACAGCCCAGGGGCAGGCUGGGGUUCCUGUGUGCUCGGGAAUGCCCCUCAGUUCCGCAUGGCCUUGUCUGUACACGGUGUGUGUGACCUUGUGCCCGACGGUCUGGAGGGACCAUUGAGUGGGCCAUUGCCUGUCCAGGCCUCUCCUGUGCUCCAGAAUGUUACGAGGGAUACCUCUCCAAAGGGGUGGGUGGGGGCGCCGCGUUCACAGUCAGCACCCUGGACAGCCCAUCCCCCAGCUGCUGGUGCAUCCCAUAGCAGGGCCAGGUCCCCCGGGAAGUGGGGGCAUCUCUGUAGAGCUGGCAGACCCCUGCCCACCCUGGGGCUGUGCCCCAAGCCCAGUGCUCCCAGUGAGGACAGAUUCUCUUAAUUAGGGAUGUCCCCUGGCACUUCUGCCACGGAGCUGGCCUCUGGUCCUGCACACUCCAGACACAUCCACCCUGGCUCACACACACCCCGGCUCACAUGCACCCCGGAUCCCACCCCCGCUGACACUCACCCCGGUUCCCAUGCACCCCAGGCUCACAUGCACUCCCGGCUCACACGCACCCCUGCUCACACGCACUCCGGCCCACACGCACCCCUGCUCACACGCACUUCGGCCCACACGCACCCCGCUCACACACCCCGCUCACCCAGUUCCCACGCACCCCAGGCUCCCACGGACCCCCGCUCACAUGCACCCCGGUUCCCACGCACCCCAGGCUCCCAUGCACCCGGCUCACAUUCACGCCCGCUCACACGCACCCCAGCUCACACGCACCCUCACUCAUGCACCCUGGGCCCACACGCACCCCAGCUCCCAUGUACCCCUGCUCACAUGCACCCCAGCUCCCAUGCAUCCCGGGCUCACAUACACCUUGACUCACACGUCUCAGGCUCAUGCAUCGGCCCCCUGGUGCGUCUCCAGGCCGCCCUCCACCGGGCUGUGC
rnacentral:lncRNA from 1 species